ACUCCUACGGGAGGCAGCAGUGGGGAAUUUUGGACAAUGGGCGAAAGCCUGAUCCAGCAAUGCCGCGUGAGUGAAGAAGGCCUUCGGGUUGUAAAGCUCUUUCAGUCGAGAAGAAAAGAUUGUGACUAAUAAUCAUGAUUUAUGACGGUAUCGGCAGAAGAAGCACCGGCUAACUACGUGCCAGCAGCCGCGGUAAU
rnacentral:rRNA from 1 species